AUUAAAUAAGGUAGCUUAUGUUGGUGAUGUGAGGAUAUCGUGGUUGAUUAUGUUGGCUUUAGGCACUGAAGGAGGAGUAUCUAUGCCUCUUUUGGUGCUCCAGUUUCAUGCUUGCCAAAUUCUUGCCGCAGCUAAUGGGAAGGGAAAGCAACCGAGAUGGAGAAAAAGAAUUUCCAAGGAGUAAAGCACUGCAUUGGUGCUUAAAGAAAGCAAAAGUUCUGCACAAAACUUAAGGGCUCGAUUCCUUCAAGUAUUUGGAAUACAGAUUGGCCGCGGAUUAAUCCAGGUGAAGAAGAUUAAGAUUGUACAUGGGCCAGUUGAACUACUCCAGACAAUGUAUAAGCCAUUUCUAGGACAACAUGUAGCCAAAAAUUUGCUGAGAUUCUGAGGUUAGUUCGGAUGCUAACUUCUCUACCCAUGGCUGCCGUUCUCAUUUGCUCAUUAAUUGAUCUAAUGGCUUGGGGAUGAAUUAUACUGCAAAUGUAGAAAGAUGCACCUUCUGUAUACAUAAUCUGACCAUGUACGAUUGAAGUAAUGCUAACACGGGCAGCAGCAGGUUGCUUAGUUGCAUAGGUAUUUGGUAUUCGACAUUUUUAGAUGAUCUUCACUAAUAGAACAAACAUGUUUCGAGUGAGAGGGAUGCUUAAUUUCUGGGGGCAAUUCCGGACAGUAUUUAGUCAAUUCAGGUAACUUUGGCACCGUAGUCUUUGUUUCCUUAAUUGAAAACCAGUGGAGGAUCAUGCUCGAUGUACUCUAUUUCUCUCUCUAGCCCCUUCAGUUUCAGAAAAUGCAGUUUGUUUAUCCUCAAGCUUAUUCCCGAAGAUAUCACCAUCUUCUCCCAGUGUUUUGGCCUGCUUGGCCAUACCCUGUGUGGGGAUAGGAGAAAAAUGUCUUUUCCCUUUUUAACAAUUCUCUAUAGUUUGGCUAUUCUUAAACAAAAAGCAUAUUUCUUCUCUGGGUCCCUCCCUUCCCUCUCAAACUGCCAUUUUCCAAGGAGCUGUUUAAAUGAUAAGCCAACUAGUGGGUAA